rnacentral:lncRNA from 1 species
UUUGAGAGUAUCCCCAGGGAAACAGAACCAUAUUUGAUGAAUUAGAGUAAAUUAGUGCAUGAAUCUUACUUAAAAGUGAGACUCUGACAACUUGGGUAGUGAAAGAUCUUUAUUCAGAUCUGCAAGGAUUAACCAUUUACUAUAACAUGUGUAGGAUACUGGCCACGGAAUUCUUCGAAAAUACAGGUUUUGGGAAAAAUGAGUAACCUACUUGUCCACUAAAAUUCUCAUUUUGGGGGCAUGAGUGGCUCAGUCAGUUAAGUGUGGGCCUUCAGCUCAGGUCAUAAUCUCAGGGUCUUGGGAUCAAGCCCCCAGUUGGGCUCCCUGCUUUCUGUGAGCCUGCUUCUCUCUCUUCCCUGCUCAUGCUCCCUCUCACUAUCUUUCAAUCCCUCAAAUAAAUAAAAUCAGAAAAGGAAAAAAAAUUUCUUAUUUUUGGAUAUAAAUCCUAGCAUUAUGUGUGCUAGCAAAACACACACACACACACACUCUCUCUCUCUCUCACACACACACACCACCAAACAAAAAAUGGUUUGGAGGUGCAAAUAAAAGGCUAAAUGAAUUAUGAUACACACAUCAAAUGGAAUCUGUUGUGCCCCUCUAGAGAGCAAAAUGGAGUCUCUCACGUCAAGCAGGGACCUGAGUCAAGCAAUGCAGCAAGCAGUUAAAGGUACCGCAGCUGGGAGAUAUCGCCAGGACCCCCGUCAGCUGACACCCCAGAACUGAAAAUGAGCAGAACCAGAGCAGGUCUGCAGGGACCCGAGACCGAUUCGAUCCCUUUACAAAGGGGAGGGUUUUGGCAGCACAAUGUCAGAAAUUUCAGACCUGACCUCUCCACGUCUGACCACUUUAGAAAGGCAACUGCUGCUGAAGGCUCUGCCCGAGGGAUCUCCGACCAGAACCGAGAGCCUUGCCUGCUUGAAGGUCCUUUACGUCACUCAUCACCAGGGAAAUGCAAAUCAAAACCACAAUGAGAUCAACUCACACCUGGUAAGAUGGCUAUUAUUACAAAAACAAGAGUUGGGUCGGAUGUGGA